rnacentral:lncRNA from 1 species
AAAAGCUCUAGCACUCAAAGCCAUCCAAGAGGGGAGCAGGCCACCACAGCAAGAGAGCGCGCUGUCCCUAAAGAGACUUUGCAGACUUCUGGGAGGGGACCCACCCCAGUCUUUCCAGCUGAGGAACUCGCACCCCGAUAUCAGCAGAACUCUCCCAGCCUAGGCAGGGGGCACCUCCUGACUUCCAUCUUUACCAUUCUCAGGGCCACCUGCAGGUCCCCCCUUGGAAAAGGGACAAGAAAUACAGGACGCCAGAAAGUGCCUUGCAAGCCCGCCGCUAGAGGGCGCCAGUUCCCUUCAGUAAAGGUUUGAGGUCCGCGCAGCUGGUGGGAACCCCUAGGACAGACCUCUCAGAUCUGUCCCCAUCUGUCCCUCUGCCUUCCUGCUCUGGCCCCGGGCUCUUUGGGGUGUUUUUCUUCAUUUCCUUGAGUACUGUAUCAUUCACUCAUUCCCAGGGUUUACAUUCACUGCUUUAAACAGUAGCUUUAUGAAAGGACAGAAAAUGGGAGACACUGGUUUGGCUUUUUUUUAAGCAGGCCAUUUGGCAGCAAGGGAAAUCUAGACAUUACUGUACUAAGCCAAUGUUUUCGCCUUUUUCCACUAACGUCUUUCUGGUAGAGUUGGGAUAAUAAUUUUCAAAAGAAGAAGACAUAAAUAGAGAAGAUAAAAGAUGACCCAAAGUUAAACCAGGAUGAAUAAUCUGUAUCAGCCCAGUAGGUGGAGACCAACAUCUGGUCUUUGCCAUUUUUAAGAUGGUUUAGAUGGGGAAAUAGAUGCUUUACUGGAAACUUUGGAUGACAUGAAAUUGGAGAGCCAAUGGCUUAGCUAACAGGUCCUGGAUCUAAACAGAUCAAGACUAGAUUAAAACUCAGAUCUUAACAGCUCACCAGGAAGCAAUAUAAAGAUCUACCUUUGGAUUUUUAAAAAAGGUUAGGAGAUGUAUUUCAGCUGACAAAGCUCAAGAAAGUGGGAUGGAGCCACUCAAAAAUAAAACUCACAAGAUGUUUAGGUGACAUGAGGAGAACACACAGGCACCAUGUUUCAUCUAGGACUGUAGAGCUGCACUUUAGGAGACUGUUGAUGCUGUGUAAUGUCCAGGUGGGGACGUCCAGGGUGGAAAGGGCCUCGUGAGGGUGUGGGACCUGGAGAAGAACUCAGCACAAUGAGAGCUGUCCUAGGCCUGGGAGUGAGAAGCUACAGGGAGCCAGAUGUCUGCUCUUACAGAAGAACCAAGCUUCAGCGUCAGAGGGCUUGUGGCAGUGGUGACUGGGCCAUCCUUGGAAGUGUCACCAAGCCAGAUGGCCGGCCAUGGGUCAGGAGAGGGUCCCAGACAUUGGCUGUGAAUCUUGAUGUUCAAGGUCAUUUCCAAGUCUGGGCUCUGGUGCUUAUGUUAGUAGAAUGGCUUUAUGUGAGCUUUAAGUGUGCGAACCACAUAUGUCCUGUCCUAUUCCUAUCUUUUGCCACCAUGUUGACCAUUUCAGACCCAUCAGUGCCUCCAUCCCCUAAGCUGAGUGUGGCCUCCUAUCUCUGAGAACCACUGGUACCUUGGCCAGAGCUGCCCUGUCUGGUCCUGUGUCACAGGGGACAUAGAUAGGAUGUGGCCAGGGAGGCAGCACGUCCAUGGGCCAGGAGCCCUUUACCUCCUGUCAGUCUCUCUCAGCUCUUUACUUUCCUCUACCUCUGCUGGAACAAAGUGAUUCUGUCAGCUCUGAACCAGCCCUGAUUCUUGGUUCUACCUAGAUUCCCCUUGUCCUGUGGAACAGUGACCACUAGACAAUGGCAACUUCUGGCCAUCGUUCUCAGCAUCUCCCAGACCGUGAGCCCCUGCUCGGUGCAAGGAAACCCCUUCUGGUACCUAAACAAACCCCCAGCUGCCUUGCCUCCUGCUCCACCAUUCAGUUUGACAGAAGGAUAUACUUUGUGAUAACUUAUUAUGUUUUUCUUUGUAAAUACAAGAUGUUUAUAGGAAAUACUUAUUCUGAACUCUACUGCAGAGUAAGUCACUACACCAAAAUAGUUCUAUUAUUUAGAGUAUGUUAAUAUUAAAGGGACCGAAUAGGUAUUUAUUUGCAUAUACUAUCCACACUUGUAUAAAACCAUCUGACCAUACUAACCAGCUUCCUACUCCACACUGCCUUAUCCUAAGUCAAUCUUUACCAUCGUUUAGUACCCGAAUGAGUCAAACUCCUUGGGGUUUAAGAUCGAAUAUAAAUUACUCUGUUUUCUGACUGUUUGGGGGCUUUCACCCCAACAUCGUUCCAUCUUUAACACUGUAUUUUCUUGUAUAAUCUGCCUUCUCUGUGUCCCCACACAUUUGGGGACCCAACCUGUCCCACAUCCUUCUUGUCCCUCCUUGUGUCAUCUGCUGUUAGGCUGGCCAGGGUCAGAGCUGCAGAUUGGGUGGGGAGAGGCUUGGAGGCCUGUGGCUCCAAUGGGGCCCAGGGAGACCAGGUCAUCCUGUGGCUGCAUUGCCAGGAGCAAGAGGCCAGGAUCCCCCUCCAUACUCAGUCCACCCCAGGCUCCUGUGCGGCAUGAAAUGGGGUGGACAGUAGGUGGUGGAUUAUAUGAGUAAAUAUGGCCUGUUUUCAGUAAAAAUGACAACUAUUUUUGUGUAUGAC